UAGAGUACAAGAUUACUAGCAAAUCAAAUUGCUAAUCUUCCUAAUUUUGACAACAAAAUCACUGGAGGUCUGCAAUCUGUGCAUAGUGAACAAUGGUAGCCCCUUAAGAACAAAAUAAAAGGAUUCUCACUCACUACCAUAUUUUUCAAUUUUUUUGUUUAUCACUUUCACUUGUAAUGAUGAUUAUGAUGGUGAUAGAUUUAGAACUGGUUAGCUUUGUGGCAUUUUGAACCUAUUCGUUUAUGGUAAUGCCCCAUUCAUUUUUGAGAAUGGGUAGUCGCAACUCCAUGUUGUUCACAAUAAUGACAUCAAUUUGAGGCCCUUUCAUCAAUUGUAAGUGAUUCACACAUUGUAAUGCCAAGUUUUCAGUUAAAUCCCUCCCAAUUUAGCAUCACUACACUUGUUAUCUAUUACCAUUUCUUGGCGCAAGCAUUGUACAUGGGUUUUGUAGGUCAAUUGAAGCUUAAAGAUAUCAAAAGAGCAUGGAGCACUACCUUGGCUCAACCGGUUGAACUACCAAUGUUCAAAC
rnacentral:lncRNA from 1 species